rnacentral:rRNA from 1 species
GACGAACGCUGGCGGCGUGCCUAAUACAUGCAAGUAGAACGCUGAAGGAGGAGCUUGCUUCUCCGGAUGAGUUGCGAACGGGUGAGUAACGCGUAGGUAACCUGCCUGGUAGCGGGGGAUAACUAUUGGAAACGAUAGCUAAUACCGCAUAAUAGUAGAUGUUGCAUGACAUUUGCUUAAAAGGUGCAAUUGCAUCACUACCAGAUGGACCUGCGUUGUAUUAGCUAGUUGGUGGGGUAACGGCUCACCAAGGCGACGAUACAUAGCCGACCUGAGAGGGUGAUCGGCCACACUGGGACUGAGACACGGCCCAGACCUCUACGGGAGGCAGCAGUAGGGAAUCUUCGGCAAUGGACGGAAGUCUGACCGAGCAACGCCGCGUGAGUGAAGAAGGUUUUCGGAUCGUAAAGCUCUGUUGUAAGAGAAGAACGAGUGUGAGAGUGGAAA